CCCUCAGAGUCCCCGUCCUUCCACGGGGACACGGCGGCACCGCGGGGAGCCCUCAGAGUCCCCGUCCUUCCAUGGGGACACGGCGGAACCGCGGGGAGCCCUCAGAGUCCCCGUCCUUCCCCGGGGACACGGCGGCACCGCGGGGAGCCCUCAGAGUCCCCGUCCUUCCACGGGGACGCGGCGGCACCGCGGGGAGCCCUCAGAGUCCCCGUCCUCCCCCGGGAACACAGCGAGGAAGGCCGCAGCGGGGCUCCGCACAUCCCCUGGUCGCAGGGUCGGUGUAAACACGGCCAGGGCAGCCUCCGGCCUCCGAGAGCAAACGUGUCAGAACAAAUCGGCUGGACCAGAAGUCAAGAUCGUGCUGGUUUAGGAUCUGAGCGCCCCGCUGAUCACCAGGGUUUAAUUUACAGAUUGUAACCACAAAAUGAGUUAUAGUUGGUUUCAUGAACUCUCCGGAGAAAAACCAAUCACUGAGAUCUGCUCUGCGAACAGCCACAGAGGGAUGAGGAAAAUGGCUAACAUGAUCAUUUGUGUUCAUCACUUGAGAGGAUGCAAUAUAGCAUUAAUCUCUUCUGGUACUUCGUAUGUUGCUGACAUUGCACUGUCUGUAUUAAAUAAGUCAGGCACAGUUUAAAGAGAGGUAAGAGAGAUUUUCCAGAAGUCCUUCUCCUUUCUUCCUUGCAGCACUUCAUCUCUUCCCAGUAAAUUUCCCUGCUCCCUUGGACUCCUUCCAGCUGAUUUAAACCACCACCAUCAUAACAGCCUUUUUCUGUGUGGCUGCAGAAGCCGUGACAGCAGAUCCAGUGUCUGGGAUACAAUUGUUCCUAUUUGGCAUGUUCCUCUUACCUCCUCCUUGCUGUGUCUGCUGGACAACCUCAGAUACUGGUGUAAGGCUAAAACCUGAAUUGUCCUCAAUCUAUUCAUUCCCAGUUUCUAUCCCCAGCCUGACUCAUCCUGCUGGGGAAUAGCAAUGCUGUGGCAAUGACCACAACCACUCCCUCCACGGUUCUGCACAAAGCACCUUCCAAGCCACUGUCAUAAAUCUGAGGGCACGCCAGAGGGAUUGCCAUUUGCUGCAUGUGGAAGGUCAGGAAGAUGCAUAACAUUUUGUAAGGCAGAAGCCUAGGAAGGAAUUUGAAAGAAAAGAAUGUGGGCAAGGGAUCAGGAAUUGCUAUUUGAGAUAUUUUACAACUUGAAAACAAAGAAGCUUAGAUAAUAGCCAGUGACAAGCUGAAUGCCCUUUCUAAAUGACAAGGAUAGUGUAAGUCCCUGACACUAAUACCGUCCUUUCAGCUCUGUUCUCCCCCAUCUAUGUAUGCACAUAUACUUACCUCACAUAAAAUAAUGUACAUACAGAUAAAAUCUCACCUGAUUUCAACUGUAGCCCCUGUUAAGAAGAAUCUUUCGCAAAAAUGCUGAAGACCUGGUGCUCUGUAUUUUUGAAAGAGUACAAGCUCCAAAGCCCUAUGUUACAAGAGCAAGUCACUUUGCCCUGGAGUAACGUUAUGAACUUGAUAGCCCAUCCAGAAAUGAGACCGCAGUGAAAUGAGGUGAUGCUUUGUUUAUGUGAAAGAAUAUUUGUACUAGAGACUGAAUUUUUAUAUGUAUAUAAUCAGUCUUAAUAGAUCAUUAUCAAACUAAAGUAAACCUCUUAAAUGCUCAAUUUGUGCGUGUGUAAAUGAAGCUCUGCAGAAAGGCCUCAGGACAGAAUGAAGUUUAUGAGAUUGUAAAUGAGCUCUAUUUAUAAAACUGUUUGGAAAUGAAACGAAGGGUUGUUUAUCUCUUGUUGUACACAAACCAUCAUCCCUAGCGAGCAUCCUGGGACACCAUACAUUUGGGAUUUUUUUGGAUAGAAACAUGCAAUUCCUGUGUUUCAAUACAAAGAGACCCUUUCCUAGCAAAUAGUCUGAUUUUGAAAUAUUCUGGAAUUCAACAGAAUAACUGGUUGGAAGAUCAUCAAGAUCAUCAAGUCCAACCCAUGCCCUAACACCACAGCUAGACUAUGGCACCAAGUGCCACAUCCAGUCUUUUUUUAAACAUAUCACAGAAUAUGCUGAAAGUGAAAAAAACAGUGGAUCAAGUUCAGUUUGUGUCAGGAGGUAAAAUGUUGGUGAAAAAAUCCAUAUUGAGUUUCAACAGUCCUGAUUUGUGCCCCUUGUUUUUUUAGGAUAUAAUGUUUCACGUAGAUCAGAAAUUACCGGGGCUAUUUUACUGUGUCCUUAAGAUUUCCGGUCUUGAUUCCACUGUAGUUACCCUGCACUAAAAUAUCAUUGUAUUUAUUACUCCUUGUCCUUGUGCAUACUUGUGCAUGUAUGUAAUUGCUUUAUAGAGAAUUUAUGUCAUAAAUUAACUCUCUGAAGACCAAAGAUUCACUUUAGAAUCAUAAUAGGUGUGUGCAGUGGUCACUGUUACCUUUGGGGUUUUUGUACAGAGUGAUUCAUACAAUACUCAAAAGAAAGUAAUUGUACUGGACCUUUAUUUGUUGUCUUGAGGAGCAGUGUGCCAACCCUUCCAGGCACUCAUGUCCUUUAUGUGACCUAUUUUUUCAAGCUUAGGAAAUUGCUUUUUACCUUACUUCAUAUUCAUAAGCAGUGCCUCUAUUACAGCAGGAUCUGUUGAUGAAAACUAUCAAAAUAAGCCAUUUUGGUGUUUCGUUUUGAGAGUUUGCACCAGCUGAACUGUUGGGAAAAACUCAGUUAAGGUUCGAAAUAGAAAAAUGUAUGGCACAGAUGUAGGUUGUUGGGGCUGGAAGAAAGAAUACUGAUCUUUAAAUUCUAGAAAUCUUACUCCAGGCUAGAGGAAGUAUUCUUUAGCUCUUAUUUAAUUUUCACAGAUCUGUUUUCAUUAGAAUCAUGGUCUAUGGAAAGAUCUUCAAAAUAUAAGUAUGCAUCUAUCCAUAUUAAAACACAUGUAUGUACAUACAACUAUGAAGAGCUUGAAUCAGAGGUUACAAUGGUUGAAAAUAUCUAUUUUUCUUUCUCCUCAAUGAACCAAGCACAGCUUAUGGAGGGGAAAUACUGAUUUAUCUGUAUUUACUACAAGGGAAUCAACCAAAAAUGUUCAACCAGUUUUUAAUUCAGAAAUUUUAUUCAAAGAAAUGCAGGUUUAACAGCAAGUGUUUAGCAAAAGUCAUUGUAGAGGGCUGUCCCACAGCCAGAGUUUAAAGCUUCAUUUGUUAACACUGCCAGUGCUCAGGAUUUCCCCUUCUGCCCCAACCAAAGUGUCAGGACUUUUCACCUGGGAUUUCUCCCACAGGUGCUCAAUAGCUGCCUGGAUCCAGUUUAUGGCAAGAUCUUGCAGGCAGUAGCAAUGUCCUGAUAGUUUCUUGUGCAUAUGGUCUAAAAUGUUUUCUCUGUACAAAAAUGCAAGACAAACUGAACAUAAAACAAGAGACUUGUUGCAGGACAAAUUCAGAUUCCCAUGUAUCCUAAAAGUGCUAAUUUUUUCACUUUGGAGAACAAAAUUGAAGCCCUUCAUUACAAGCUGAAUUCAUUUUUCUUUUAAAAAAUUAAAAGCUUUUCAGCUGGGUUGGUAAAUUAGGUCUCAUGUCUGAAAAAUGCAUAUUCUGGCUUAGGAAAGCAGGGUUUUUUCCUUUCAAUAGCUGGCAUGUUCUGACACGCUAACAGCUUGAGCUAAUAUUUAAGUAAGUAAAUAGAACAUUAGUGUUGGAGCAAGAGGGUCUGGUCAAGCAUUCCUGACUCAAGACAACCUCUUAGACACUCUCACCAGAAAUUAAAUACUUCUAAAUUUGGGUAAAUGCAAUAUGAGAUGUUACACAUGCAAUAUUAUUUAUUGUUCUAUUUGAAGUUUGGAUAAAAAUUG